GACGAACGCUGGCGGCGUGCCUAACACAUGCAAGUCGAGCGGGGGGAGUUCUUCGGAACAAACCUAGCGGCGGACGGGUGAGUAACACGUGAGCAAUCUGCCCCGAACUCUGGGAUAAGCGUUGGAAACGACGUCUAAUACCGGAUACGACGCGCGAAGGCAUCUUCUGCGCGUGGAAAGAAUUUCGGUUCGGGAUGAGCUCGCGGCCUAUCAGCUAGUUGGUGAGGUAACGGCUCACCAAGGCGACGACGGGUAGCCGGCCUGAGAGGGUGACCGGCCACACUGGGACUGAGACACGGCCCAGACUCCUACGGGAGGCAGCAGUGGGGAAUAUUGCACAAUGGGCGCAAGCCUGAUGCAGCAACGCCGCGUGAGGGACGACGGCCUUCGGGUUGUAAACCUCUUUUAGUAGGGAAGAAGCGAAAGUGACGGUACCUGCAGAAAAAGCACCGGCUAACUACGUGCCAGCCGCCGCGGUAAAAC
rnacentral:rRNA from 1 species